rnacentral:tRNA from 1 species
AUCUGGAUAGCUCAGUGGUUUAGAGCAGUUGCCCGAAAAGCGAAAGACUCGAGUUCGAUUCUCGAUCCAGGCA